GAUGAAGAACGUAGCGAAAUGCGAUAAGUAAUGUGAAUUGCAGAAUUCAGUGAAUCAUCGAAUCUUUGAACGCACAUUGCGCCCGUCAGUAUUCUGGCAGGCAUGCCUGUUCGAGCGUCAUUACGCCCCUCAAGUCCCCUGUGGACUUGGUGUUGGGGAUCGGCGAGGCUGGUUUUCCAGCACAGCCGUCCCUUAAAUUAAUUGGCGGUCUCGCCGUGGCCCUCCUCUGCGCAGUAGUAAAACACUCGCAACAGGAGCCCGGCGCGGUCCACUGCCGUAAAACCCCCCAACUUUUUAUAGUUGACCUCGAAUCAGGUAGGACUACCCGCUGAACUUAAGCAUAUCAAUAAGCGGAGGA
rnacentral:misc_RNA from 1 species